rnacentral:rRNA from 1 species
UAGAGUUUGAUCCUGGCUCAGAUUGAACGCUGGCGGCAUGCCUUACACAUGCAAGUCGAACGGCAGCACGGGGGCAACCCUGGUGGCGAGUGGCGAACGGGUGAGUAAUACAUCGGAACGUGUCCUGGAGUGGGGGAUAGCCCGGCGAAAGCCGGAUUAAUACCGCAUACGCUCUGCGGAGGAAAGCGGGGGAUCUUCGGACCUCGCGCUCAAGGGGCGGCCGAUGGCAGAUUAGCUAGUUGGUGGGGUAAAGGCCUACCAAGGCGACGAUCUGUAGCUGGUCUGAGAGGACGACCAGCCMCMCUGGGACUGAGACACGGCCCAGACUCCUACGGGAGGCAGCAGUGGGGAAUUUUGGACAAUGGGGGCAMCCCUGAUCCAGCAAUGCCGCGUGUGUGAAGAAGGCCUUCGGGUUGUAAAGCACUUUUGUCCGGAAAGAAAUCGCGCCUGCUAAUACCGGGUGUGGAUGACGGUACCGGAAGAAUAAGCACCGGCUAACUACGUGCCAGCAGCCGCGGUAAUAC